rnacentral:rRNA from 1 species
CCUACGGGAGGCAGCAGUGAGGAAUAUUGGUCAAUGGCCGAGAGGCUGAACCAGCCAAGUCGCGUGAGGGAUGAAGGCCCUACGGGUUGUAAACCUCUUUUGUCGGGGAGCAAAGAGAGUCACGUGUGGCUCAUUGAGAGUAUCCGAAGAAAAAGCAUCGGCUAACUCCGUGCCAGCAGCCGCGGUAAUACGGCGGAUGCGAGCGUUAUCCGGAUUUAUUGGGUUUAAAGGGUGCUCAGGCGGAGGUUCAAGUAACUGGUCAAAUUGCGGGGCUCAACCCCGUACUGCAGUUGAAACUGCAUCCCUUGAGUGAGCGAGAAGUAUGCGGAAUGCGUGGGGUAGCGGUGAAAUGCAGAGAUAUCACGAAGAACUCCGAUUGCGAAGGCAGCAUACCGGAGCGCAACUGACGCUCAUGCACGAAAGCGUGGGGAUCGAACAGGAUUAGAUACCCCUGUAGUC